GCAGAGUAGGGUGGGUGCCAGCAGCCUCAGCACAGACACAUUCCGUCCCACCCACCACCAGCGCUCCCCUCUGCAGCUUGUCCCAAGUCAGGGAACAGCUUGGCCUGAUCCUGCUGAUGCCUCAGGGCAGGACAAGGCGGGGAGGCUCCAGGGAGGCCACCCAUGCUGGGCACACAGUGGACCGUCGCACCGUGUCUUCCGCCAUCACACCCAGACCCAGGGCUGGCCAGGAGCCUUCGGGGCAACAGCUCUGAGGAUGGAUGUAGGCGUACGAGGGCAGGGACCCGGGCUUUGGGAAUCAGAGCCCCCCUGCUGAGGAGGAAGAGGAGCACCCUUCCUGCACUUGGAGAAAAAGAGGCCGGCUGCUGCCCAGGAGUCCUGCCCCCUGCAGCCCCGUGGGGAGCCCUGGGACCCCUGUGGGUGGGCCUCACCCUGCUGGGGACACUCCAGCCACAGCAAGGGCCCCCAGAGGGGCCUGAACGUGCCUUUCCACAAGAUCCGUCUCCAGCCUCAGGAAGGAGCCGGUGAGUGGCCUCCAGGAUGGGGAAGGAGGAAGGAGGGUGCAGCUGGGCCAAUGGGCCUGACUGCCACAGUGCACAUGGCCCCCACGGCCCUGGAGAACCCUGCCAGGUGGGAAGAGCUCACACCCUCUGUGCAAGUGGAGAAACUGAGGCUCAGGAAGGCUGCCCACCCCCUGGCCAGGGUCACCCAUCCCUGUCAGAUCCAGGCUCCUGCCAGAGUACAGUUCUAGGGGAGUGGCGCGUCCUGGGGCUGGCAGUCAACACCUUCAGGCCGGAGGGCAGUUCCCAAUUCAGGAUGUUGGUGGCAGCCGUGGUCACGUCCAGCCUGCUCAGCUGAAGCUUGGUGCCAACAGCCCCUGCCAGAGGUGCGGCUGGAAAAUGACAAGAUGGAGGCUACGCCGGAGACCAGGCGCCAGGAGAAGGGACAUAGGCCCAGCUGCUUGGUUAGGCCCUGAGCACGGUGGGAAGGGUCCGCCCAGGAUCCCCUGAGGGCUGGGCUGGGAGGGAGGGUUCUCCCCAGGGCUCACCCCCCUUCUUGGCACAGGGUAGGGGAAGGAGCUGGAUUUCGACCUGAGGGAGAAAUUUAUCAAAUUUGACCAGAUCCUGGGCAUCAGCCUUGACCACAUUCCCUUCCUGCCCCAGACUGGGCUUGGAACCUGGGCUGCUCCUGGCGGCCCUGCCCACCCACAGUGCUCAAGGACAGUUGGAUCCGGCUCCUCCUGGCACAGACUGUUUAUUUCUGAUGGGGUGGUAGGGGCAGGUGUGGUUGAGCCUCCCACGGGGAGGGGGCACCAGCAAGGCUGGGACUGGCGGUGAGGGUGGGGUCGCCAAGGGCCGGGCCAGGCUCCACUGUUCUCAGGACAGAGUGGCAGGCCCAGGCAGAGAAUCGCGGAGGGGCUGCAGUGACAGAAUGGAGACGAAGAGACCUGCGGGGGAGAGAGGGGCAGAGCGGGUGCCAGGGCCGGGAGGAAGGAGGGCCUCGUGGAUCCCAGCAGCUGCCUCCCUCCCAGCUGGGUGCUCUCCUGGCCUGUCCCACACUCUCAGGAGCCAGCCCCUUGCGUUGAAUGGUCCUUCUGGCUUCUGGUCUCUGUGGGGAGUGGUGCCCAGCCUGGUGCUACAGUGACCCAGGGGUCCUUAGGCGAGGCCCUCCCAGGCUUGGCCCCUGCCCAGACCCCGCUGGCCUGGGGAGCUCCCGCCCAGCCCCUAAAUGGGCAAGGUGAGGACACUUUAGCCCUGACCUUCCAUGACCUAGCUGGGUGCUUCCUGGAGUCAGACGGGGCCUCAGAGGUCCACAGCACUGCUCACAGCACCGGGAUCCUGGAGCUGAGUGUCUUGAGGCUGGGGGUGUGGGUGUGGUGUCGGGGGUUAGGCCACCCCCUUCUCACGGCCCUGCUGCCUUUGGGAUGCAGCAGCCUCUGCCAAGCCUGCUGGAGCCCCACAUUGGACAGAUCGCUGCAGCACCCCCAAAUUGCCUUUUGUCCCCCAGAGACAGCCAACCCAGCUCUGGCUCCAAAGUAGCAAAACUGGCUGCAGCUUGGCCAUAACUGUCUUUGGACCUCAUGGCCAGCAACGCACAUACGAGUCUCAAGUCCCAGGGACACACCUGCUCCCCUGUCCUCUGGCUUGUCCCCGGCUCCCCUGUCCUCUGCCUCAUCCCCGGCUGCUGGGGAAGCCUGACCUGCAGGGUGGUGCUGGGAGAGGCGGCCAGAGGCAGCCAGAAAGGGUGAGUGAAGAGGUGGCCGUUCCCAAUGUCAGCCAGGAACAGAGAGGCGGGCUGGGUGAAGAGUGGUCCCCAUGCUUUGAGCAGCUCAGAGAUGCUGAGGAAGGGCGGUCCCACGUGGCCCGUCCACUCAGGCCUCCUUCAGUCACAGAGCAGCUCCCUUGACACAGGGAGGCCUGGGGGAGAAUUUCUUGCCCCUAGAGGAGCUCUGAGCUGGGCUGCCCCCACUGCACCCAGCCCUGGUCUCCCCGGCUACAAUGCACCAGGCUAGGCACCGCUCCCCACAGAGACCAGA